CCCCCCCCCCCAAAAAUCCUUACUUCGUAAGUUCAUAAGGUGGCAAGUUUUACUUCUGAGAGGUAGCACAAACAAGCAAAGGAAUAUUGUACGUGCAUUAACUGAGGCACUUGAAAUCACCCAAUUUAAUUUACAGCAAAACUCUCCUCUUCAGAAUUUCAGUGCUUGUGAACAAUUAUUACAACAAUGGUCUCAAUUUACUUUGACAAAAUCUUACUCUAACUUUAGUCAUCUGACCUUAAACUUACAAGAAAAAUGUAUUUCUAUCUCAGGCAAGUAUUUAAAUUCUCAAAAGUUAGUAAUAAAAGAUCAAUGUGGAAAGAAGUAUGAUUUCUGAAAAUUGGGAACAUAUUUUAGCUUUGUAAUUGUGAAAUGACAUUAGUGACAUGAAAGGGCAUUGUUCUGUUCCUCUGUCUUAACGCUAUCUAGUUCUUUUUAUUAGUAUUCAAAACACAUUUAGAAUCUAAGCUUUUAAAGAGCAAAACAAAACCUUAGACAUUAAGACACUGACAUAAAUCUUAAAAUCCUUUGGAUUUGAAUUUGUAAUCCCUAAUACAACCAUAUUUUAAAGUGUGCAUGCACACAUCCCAAAUUAUAAGAAAGGCUAUAUAGUAAAUUCUUCAUGGCUAGAGAACAGGGUCUUACGGUUAAUGGAAUUGUGAUAUAUGUUGAUGAGAAAGUUUAAAAGAAUUAGAAUAAAACUGAAUCUUUAUUACUGUAUCAAAUAUAAUUUGAGCUUAGUUUGGUUCACAUGGUUCUUCAAGGUCUUCUAGUUCUUUCAAGGGGAUCACCAUAUAUUAGAGAUGUGAACAAGUACAUGUUAAUAGAAAUUCUGAACUGUGCAAAUGCCAGAUAAACAAGUUUUACUAUAGUUAUGUUGUCAGUAUAAUACGGUAAAGAAGCAUUUUAAAGUAGGCCACCAGAGCAAUCUCUUCCUGCCCUUUUAACUGCGUUUUUGCACUAAUACAUACAUAUUUACAUGUACACACACACGGACAUAUACAUACCUUGUGCAAUGUAGUUAUCUGGUGUGGUAUCAUCUGUAGUUUUAAUAAACACACCACAUUCUUCUAAAAUAAAAACAUGGGAAUAACAAAA